AUUCCAACAUCAUAAAUUCUGAUCUUAGGGUCCGGAACACCACGGCAGUAUCGAGAUUUCGGGUAUGGCUUGUUCUUGAUUUGUCGGUAACACCUCCAAGGUCCUACAGAGAAGGUUUUUAGCAAACCAACCCAAUUAUGCAAAGCAAAGAUCA